UACGUAGGGGGCUAGCGUUGUCCGGAAUCAUUGGGCGUAAAGAGCGUGUAGGCGGCCCGGUAAGUCCGCUGUGAAAGUCGGGGGCUCAACCCUCGAAAGCCGGUGGAUACUGUCGGGCUAGAGUGCGGAAGAGGCGAGUGGAAUUCCUGGUGUAGCGGUGAAAUGCGCAGAUAUCAGGAGGAACACCGAUGGCGAAGGCAGCUCGCUGGGACGUAACUGACGCUGAGACGCGAAAGCGUGGGGAGCAAACAGG
rnacentral:rRNA from 1 species